rnacentral:rRNA from 2 species
GGAUUAGUGGCGAACGGGUGAGUAACACGUGGGCAAUCUGCCCUGCACUCUGGGACAAGCCCUGGAAACGGGGUCUAAUACCGGAUAAUACNUCUCCCCUCCUGGGGNGUGGUUAAAAGCUCCGGCGGUGCAGGAUGAGCCCGCGGCCUAUCAGCUUGUUGGUGGGGUAAUGGCCUACCAAGGCGACGACGGGUAGCCGGCCUGAGAGGGCGACCGGCCACACUGGGACUGAGACACGGCCCAGACUCNUACGGGAGGCAGCAGUGGGGAAUAUUGCACAAUGGGCGAAAGCCUGAUGCAGCGACGCCGCGUGAGGGAUGACGGCCUUCGGGUUGUAAACCUCUUUCAGCAGGGAAGAAGCGAAAGUGACGGUACCUGCAGAAGAAGCGCCGGCUAACUACGUGCCAGCAGCCGCGGUAAUACGUAGGGCGCAAGCGUUGUCCGGAAUUAUUGGGCGUAAAGAGCUCGUAGGCGGUCUGUCACGUCGGGUGUGAAAGCCCGGGGCUUAACCCCGGGUCUGCAUUCGAUACGGGCAGACUAGAGUGUGGUAGGGGAGAUCGGAAUUCCUGGUGUAGCGGUGAAAUGCGCAGAUAUCAGGAGGAACACCGGUGGCGAAGGCGGAUCUCUGGGCCAUUACUGACGCUGAGGAGCGAAAGCGUGGGGAGCG